rnacentral:lncRNA from 1 species
CCAAAUGUUCAUUAUAACUCAUUACAAACCAAAAUAAUAAAGUACAUCAAAAGUAUAAAGAAAAUACAACCAAAGAAAGCUUGAUUUUGACUUCCUAUUUGAAUUAUGAGAUAGACCAACUCCAAGAUCACUGAUCCAAAACCUUUCUCCAAUUUGAGUGUAUCAGAGUUCCCUAAGAGCUUCGAUGGGACUUCGGGCAGUGCUCACACCUAACUUGUAUCACCAGAAUAGGGACAAGUGCAUUGUGGAAGAGCCAGCCCUCAAGUGUCCAAGUUCAAUGGGAGCUCAAUGUGCCCCAAGGCAAGGCUCACAAGAGGGGACGGAACUUAAGGUCUAAGAGAGAGUGCAGGUGAAGAAAUAGAAUUUUAAAGAAUUAAGACAGUAAAGAAUAGGGAGAGAAGUGCUUGGAAACAACCAUAAACAAGCCAAACAAAGGGUUCAGGAUUGGGGAAAUUUCCAAAGAGCCUAUGUGCUUAGGCACUAGCCAAUUCCGGGCAUGCACAACAAUAAAGAAUGUUGUUACGCUUAAGGAAUCAACAAGAAUACACUACAUAUGAUGGCAACAUAGAGGCUAUGAUUCCAGAGGAACCAAGUUUGAGCCAUAAACAAUAAUACUCAAUACUGCCUUGUCACAAACAAACCAUUGGCAUCAAACACAUUGGUGUAGGGGGUUUGGGAUUCAUAACAGGAGGAAAUUAUAGUAUGCUAAAGUAAACACUAAAUAAACACAAGCAGUAGGCAGACAUGUAAGUAAAGGUACAAGGUAAACACAUUGUUUGUGAGUGCUGAAAAUCUUAAUCAGGACACACCAGUUUCAAGGAAGCAAAAUACAGUAAAUGCAGUAGCAUGACUUGAAAAAACAAGCCACAGUACAAGUAACAAGAGAGAAUGCUUUUUGAAUGAGAGUAUGAGUUCAUAAAACUGAGUGUUCUUGUGUUUGUGUCAAUGCAAAAUCCAGAUAUUUAUAGUGUGAAAACAGGCAGAAAAUAAGGCAACAAAAUAAUUAUGGAACUGUGAUUAAUUAAAAAUCAAUCAGUAUAAGAACCUCAUUUAAUUAAGGAGUUUAAAAUUUGUGGUAAUGGGCAGAAAACUUUAAGGAAAGAAAUCAAGUAAGCAUCUUGUGCAUAAUAGGCAAUUAGGGGUGAAUACAUAGUGAUUUAACUAAGGGAAGAAUUAAUGAAUAAUCUUUGAAAUAUACAGUUAACCAAAUAAGAUAAGAAACAAAAUAAACCAACCAAUACAUAGUAAAGCAAGGAGUGAGGGAUUUGAAGUUAUAAAUAAACCAAGUCAGAAUUAGGAGAAUCGAAAGGCUAAGGGAAGGUUCUCAAAUCAACCCAAGAAUCAGGGAAAUCAGUAAAACAAGAAAAUAGUCAAUCAGACUCACACAAGAAGGUAUGAAAUUUCUCCCAAAUUGAAGGCCAUUUUAGAGGAAAACACAUCAUAUAAAAGAGUAUAUAAGUAUUAAGCGGGCAAGGCUGAACUUAGGACAAUGAGAAAUAGGUAGUCACAUAGGUCGAUUUCAGUUACUUAGUAACAGAGAAGAGAAAGUAUCAAAUAGCAUACCGAAGGGCCAAGUAAAAGACCUUAUAGAGUUUUAGCAGGAAGUUGAAAUCAUAUAAAGGAACAAAGAUUAAGAAAUUCAAUCGAACAGUAAAUGAAAAAUCUUUCAAAAACUCGAAUAGGUUCAAAGAAAUUAGGAUUUUGAAAACAAACAAGUUCAAAGAUGAAGAACAAGCAAAUCACAUAGCGAGUAGUCUCAAAACUCGAAUGAAUCCCCAAAAUUUAGUGUUUCUUUGUCAAUCGAGUAUAGAUAUGAAAAUAAGUAAAUUAAGCAGAAAUACUAACGAAAUAAGUUCAGAAAUCUUAAAUGGAACUAAGACUUUUAACAUGCAUAUUCUAGUAGAAGAACAACAUAAAGAAACACAAUAGAAGAACAACAUAAGAAACAUGGUAGAAGAACAACAUAAGAAACAUAGUAGGCAUGUUCUAAAAAAUCAGAAGAGUUUUGAAAUAAAGUAACAAAAAACCCUAGGUCAGAAAAGACAAACAUUCUGAAAGUAAAAUUUUGAAAGAAACUUUGAGAAAACAUUUAAAAGCUUGGAGAAGACACAAAUAUACAACGGAUCUAAAAGAAUCAGAAGAACCUCGAAUAUUAGGGUUUUAGAAGAAUCCUAUAUAGUGAGAAAUGCUUGGAAGGUCAUUGAUCUUAGUAGGAGAAGUCAAGAUAAGGCUUGAACAACCAUGGCUGGCCGGAGCAAGGUCGGAGACAGCUCUAGAACUCGAAUGAAACAAAAUCUGGGCCAAAAUUCUUCAAGGUUUGACCUCAAAAUCAUAGUAGCCAAGCAUGUAGGAGUCAUAGGAGGCAGGUACAUGCCUUUAAUGGGUUUGGAAGCAAUGGAUUCAGGCAGUUUUAUGGUGGAAGUAGAUAGAGGCGGCUACGGUUUCUGAGGGAGCCUGAGAGAGAAUUGAGAGAAGGGAGAAUUCAAGGGCAGCUGUAGAUGAAAAAUGACUAGGGUUUGGGGGUACAGAAUUAAAAAAGGAAAGGUUAGAUGGUGGUUGUUGAUCAUUG